ensembl:lncRNA
CUGACCCCCAUUCGGCUGAGCAGUCGUCCCUUCAGUUUCAUCGGCGGCGAGCGGCUUGCUGCACCCGCGCUUUACGUCAUGGCUCCGCCUGUCACUUGUCGUCAGCGUCUGGACGCUGGUGCGGUUACGCUGUCUUGAGGCGCGGGCCCUGGGCGUGUGGUGUGGUGUGCGCGGGCUCUUACCCCUCUUCCUCGGUGUGUGAUGUUUGGCGUCUUUUCGCUGCGCCCUGGCCAGUUUGUGUGACCCGAGGAUGCGCUGACCCGUGCGGCUGUUUGUAGUGGGCUUUCAGUCGUCCCCUCAGUCGGAAGAUUUGAUAGCUGCCCCUUCGACUGUUUUGCGAGCGCUGUGGCGUCGCCAUUCGACCUCCUACAGUUCCUCAUGAUGGUUGCCAUGGCUCCCGGUAAUCGUGGCCUGUUCUGUGUUGCCGGGUGAAAGCCUUUUCACGUUCGCCCCUUCCAGUGGUCUUCCUAGCUCUAGGCAAGGCUUCUCUGAAGACACCAGUGUGGAGGAGCCCAAGAGAGGCCUGUCUUUGGAGCACGUGGACAUGGGAUGCAUGAGCACUGCUAUUCAGAGUCCUCCCUGAAGCAACUCAAGGCCUCCAGGACUGGGAAAGCUUCAGAUGCCAACAUCCAGGUCAGAAGUACAACUUGAAGAGACUUGUAAAGAACUCCCAACUCCCAAGGAAUUCAUCCAUUCUUUAGGCCUGGCCCUGCUCACCUUGGGAAUUUACAGCACCUGCUGUAUUUAUUGUUGAUCCCUCUGUUUCCAUAGAUCUCUGACUGCUGAAGCAAGAAGAACAGAGCUGAUGCUGUGUGCUUUUGUGCCCAAUGAAUUCCCUUCUUAAACUCACCCCAUUUCCUCAAGUCUAUCGCCUAAUGCAGUACUUUCCCCAAAGAUAAAAGGAAGACAUACCGCUCACUGAAUGUAAGGGAAUUAUGUAAUGUGUAAUAUGAGUGCCAAGCCAAACACUUGAAUUAACUGUGGGUGUGGGAUGGAGGGCAAAUGAGGAGGCACUGGGGGCUGUGUGAACCCGAGUUGAUGGGGAAAGACAGCACCAGUCCUUGGACACAUCCUCCCACAUCCACACUCUACUCGAUACUUGCCCACAUGAAUCCCCCUUCCUGCUGUCCUUGGGAUUUAACUAAGUGUCUGACAUCCACAGCCUGGGUUUCCUGGGCCCCUUUCCUGGGAGGUUAGUUGUUGAUAUAUCUAUAUUUUCCCUAGUCUCUGCCCUGGCAUCUCAGCUGGGAUUCCCUUCACCAACACAAGCUCCAUGCUCAUACACUGGCUUAAUUUUCCCCUCCCUGAAGACUGCACCACAAGAUCUAUGCUGACCCGUCUGCUGCCUGGAGAUGAAGGGACUCAGAUAGAAAAGGUGCUUCACACCGCUCAGGCUCCGCUCAGCCAUUGCAGAUCUGACUCCCUAAGUCCCCUCCAUCCAUCACUCUGCCUGUGGGUUCUCAUAAGACACAGCGGAGUCCCAGUCUUCCCCCGGAAAGCAUUUCUGCGGGUCAUAUGACGAGAACCCUAUAUCUGCUCAUUGGAUGGCCCCUGUCUGCUGAAUGUCAACACAGCAGUCUAAAACUGUGUGGUACACAUUUGAACUUGUAGGUCUU